rnacentral:rRNA from 1 species
CCUACGGGUGGCAGCAGUGAGGAAUAUUGGUCAAUGGCCGGAAGGCUGAACCAGCCAUGCCGCGUGCAGGUCAGUGCCCUAUGGGCGUUAAACUUCUUUUGUGCGGGAGCAAUAAUGGUCACGUGUGGCCAGACGAGAGUACCGUACGAAUAAGCAUCGGCUAACUCCGUGCCAGCAGAGGCGGUAAUACGGGGGAUGCAAGCGUUAUCCGGAGUUAUUGGGGUUAAAGGGUGCGUAGGCGGGGAGGUAAGUCAGCGGGGAAAUGCCUCCGUGCAACGGGGUGAAGUGCCAUUGAUACUGCCUUGCUUGAAUGCGCAUGCCGUGGGAGGAAUGGGUGGUGUAGCGGUGAAAUGCAUAGAUAUCACACAGAACACCGAUUGCGAAGGCAUCUCACGAAUCCGCGAUUGACGCUGAUGCACGAAAGCGUGGGUAUCAAACAGGAUUAGAUACCCGUGUAGUC